GUAACACAAGCAAGACCUUUCACCAGGACCAGACCGGAUGCGGGGGCUGGAAGAAGAGCCCCGGAGCAUUUCGCGUGUGUCUCCGCAGAGAGCACCCGUGAAGUCCGGGGUUGGGGGCUGUGGGGCUUCAGGGCCUCAGGAAACCGAUUCCAGACUCUGUCCUUUUCCCACGGAGGCCCCACCAUCUCCUGUGAACUUAUAAACUGCAGAGCGGACCCUGGGCCACCUCCAGGGGCUCCUGGAUGCCCUCAUGACUAGCAGGCAGGCCCAGCAGGUGCUGACCUAGAGGGGUCCCCUGCCCUCCCCAGGGUCCCCCAGGUGCCCAGGGCAUCCCAGCUGAGAGGACUGGGAGGGGAACACACUGGGGUGAGGCGGGGAGCAGGAGCUGUCCUUCUAUGCUGAGAGGCCAUUUGAUCUCUCCCCUGGGAGCAGGAGAGGUUGGGGUGUCGGGACCCAGGUGUCUGGCUGGAGUGGAAGUGUGGGUGCUUUAAGCAAUGGAUGGUGUUGAAAGUCUGGGGAUGGGAGGAGAUCACAGAGAAGCGGGGUCGGGAGCGAGAAGAGGCUAGGAUGCGGCCAAGAGGAACUGCACUGUCCCAACACCUGCUCAGGUGCCCCUGUCCCCACUAACCUGGGCGACGGCGGGGAGCGGCGGGGAAGCCCUGCUCCUCAGAGCCCAGCAGUGCUCGGAGGGGUGCGUCUUCACAGGGCCACCGACUCUGGGCCACCGUGGAUCACAGGCAGACCCCAGGAGGAUCUUGCAAGGCAGCGGAGUGGCCCCACUGGCUCAGCCUGAGGGCUUCUCCCGCAGCACAUGGAGGUUCCCAGGCUAGAGCCACAGCAACGCGGGAUCCGAGCCACGUCUGCGACCUACACCACCGUUCUCGGCAACGCCAGAUCCUCAACCCACUGAACGGAGCCAGGGAUCGAACCUGCAACCUCAUGGUUCCUAGUCAGAUUCGUUACCCACCGCGCCACAAAAGGAACUCCAUCAGCCACAUUUACAGAGCAGCAAACCAAAGGACAGCAAGGGGACGAGCCAGGCAGCUUAAUGGCAGCAACACCUCCUACCUUUCUGUCUUUUGUCUAUCUUUCCAACUGUCUGUCUGUCCAGUUGCAUCUGAUUCCUUCUCCAAACACACAGAGAGGCUUCCUUGGGCGGGGUUUUGCUUUGAAGUCCUGAGACAAGCUUGGUCUCCUUUGAUACGAUCCUGAGGCGAGACCAAACGGAGCAAGAGCUGGCUCCUGGUCACUCGCUGCCGUCAUCUUCGUCAUCGUCCCCGUCAUCCGUCAUCGCCUCCUUCACCAUCACCACCUUCUUUUUUUAAUUUUUAUUUUUGCUUUUCAGGGCUGCACCUGCGGCAUAUGGAGGUUCCCAGCCUAGGGGUCGAGUCAGAGCUGUAGCCGCCGGCCGACACCCCAGCCAUGGCAACACUGGAUCUGAGCCGCAUCUGUGACCUACACCACAGCUCAGGGCAGUGCCGGAUCCUUAACUCACUGAGCGAGACCAGGGAUCAAACCAGCCUCCUCCUGGAUACCAGUCAGGUUUUUAACCCGCUGAGCCGCCCUGGGAACUCUUUGUCAUCCUCAUCAUUUUCAUUGUCGCUGUCAUCUUCAGCAGCAGCAGCAGCAGCAGCAUCUUUAGCAGCAGUACCCCUGAAGAGCAACCCCGGGAGGGUGCUUUAUACACGGUUCCAAGUUUCCUGCCACGGCCAAGCACCGCUUGUCCAUUUAAAGGGGGACAUCCGAUGGUGGCCCCAAGGCACUGCGAUGAGCCCUGGGGUAAGGACAUGGCUGGGACAGGGGGGGUGCCUGUCCACAGAGGUGAGAGCUCCACCUGGCUCACAGGCCUGCACCCGGCAGGACCUGACAGGCUCCUUGGCCCGACUGGGGAGCUAGGGUGCCGGGCAGUCUGCCACCUGACCCCCACAGCCGCCCGCCUUCUGCAGUGCUGGGGUGCGGCCCGCAGGCACAGUCAGGUCCGGGCAGGGCCUGGGAGGCUCUGCAUGUUUGGUGCGCGGCUGCAGGGAGAGGAGCAGCCUGGCUGCCUGGGCUUGGAGAGGAGACUUGCCCAGGUGUGUGUGCAGGGGCCCCGGCCAGCCUCACCCGGGACAGUGAUGCACGCCCGGCGGUGACGCGUGAACACUGGAAUCCCAGGCACUGGGGCUUGGGCAUCCUUAGGCUGGCAUGGCUCUGCUCUCUCCACCAGUCCGUGCAAGGAUGGGCUUGUCCGCCUCCGGCCAUCAAGGAUUCUGGACCUGACUCCAGGCCACCAUGGCCUUCUUCCUCCUUCUGGAACCCAGCCUCCACCCUCUAGCGAUGAGGGUGGACAGAUGCUGUCUCCCCAGCCAGGCGAUAGGACCCAUCCUUUCUGGUCUUGGGCCCUCCUCCCCUGGGACCUCUGGGGGGUCCCCCAAGAGCCGAGGUGCAGGGUCAUGGGCACCAGGACAUUGACGUUCGGGGGAGCCGUCCCACGGGCCCAAUGCCCUCUUUCCCAGCUGGAGAAGCUGAGGACACGAGGGGGGUGGUUCCUCUAGGGCCACACCCAGGACUGGGCCCUGGGGAGCAGCUUCUCUCUGCUUCCUCCUGGAAAGGCCAUGACCUCUGGGGAGGCGGGUCCAAGUCCCUCUGCCCUUCAGAGACUCAGUCAGCAGGAAUUUCCGCACAGCCCCGUGCUAGGAGGUGGCAGGGGACGGUGGAGGAAGAUGCAGGUCUUGCCCCCCGGAGGAGACAACGACCCAGCGGGGAGAGGGGCAGACAAGCUCGUGAAGAAACGUCCUGCCACUGGUCUGGUCACAUCAGGGGAAGGCCCUCGGGGGACACCUGGGCCUGGAGCCUGGAUGGCGAGGAGGCCUUCUGCACUAGAGGAGGCCUUCCGGGUGGGGCCGUGGCAGGUGCAAAGGCCCUGAGGUUGGAGGAACCAUCCUCAAGAGGGGGCAGGCGUGGGACUGAGGGCCCGAGCCGAGGCCGGGAGGCCAACAGCGGCCAGGCCACGGAGGACUUGGCAGCUGUGGAAGGCAUGUGGCCUUUCUCCUGGGAGCGGAGGGGAGACCCAGAGGAUGACAGAACUGGAGCCGCUUUUGAAGAGACUGUGGAGGAGGAAAAGGAUCGGAUUCGGAGCCCCUUCCAGAUAGCAAGUUCCGCAGAGACCCAGAGACUGCAGGUGUGGCUGGUCCUGACCCUGGCCUUGGACGAGUGCCCCACACCCAAGGUCUCCACGGCCCCUCCUCCCAGGCCUCCUCUAAGACCUGCCAGCCCAGAGGUCCUGGCAGGCAUCUCUUGGACACAGUCCCAGGGCGUGGGACUUGAUGGCUGAGUGUGCUGAUCCCCAGGAGGGGGCCCCCAGAGCAAGGGGGCAGGAAGUCCUGUCACUUCCCUGCCAGAGACAUCCCCCAUCUGUCCCUCACUGCAGGUUCCUGCAUCUCGCGCCUGCGUUGUCCUGCAGGGCACGAACCUACAUCAUCACUGUUCAUACAGCCAGGUGUAAUUUAUAACUUACAGGGUCGGGCACGAUUCUUUUUCUCCCCCCUUUUAUUUAUUUAUUUUUUUGCUUUUUUAGGGCUGCACCUGUGGCACAUAGGAGUUCCCAGAUGAGGGGCUGCAUCAGAGCUGCAGCUACCAGCACAUGCCACAGUCAUGCCAGAUCUGAGCCACAUCUGUGACCCACAACCACAGCUCACGGCAACGCCAGAUCCUUAACCCACUGAGCGAGGCCAGGGAUCGAACCCAUAUCCUCAUGGGUACUAGUCGGGUUCUUAACCCACUGAGCCACAAUGGGGACUUCGUUCUUUUUUCUUUUUAUGGCCACACCUGCAGCAUAUGGGAGUUCCCAUAGGGGUGGAAUUGGAGCUGCAUAUGUGGUGUAAGCCACAGCCACGGCAACACUGGAUCUGAGCCACAUCUGUGAUCUAUUCUGGCAGCUUAUGGCAACACAGGAUCCUUAACCCACUGAGCAAGGCCAGGGAUUGAACUUGCAUCCUCACAGGGACAAUGUUGCACCUUAACCCACUGAGCCACAAUGGGAACUCCUGUUUUUGGUCACCCGCAGCAUGCAAAUUCCCAGGCCGGGGAUCGAACUUGUGACACAACAGUGACCUGAGCCACUGCAGGGACAACGCCGGAUCCUUAACUCGCUGAGUCACCAGGGAACUCUGAAAUGCACGCUUUUCAAGUUUGCAGCUGUUCAAGCCUGUGUGACCUCCACCCAGGUCACAACGUGGACACGCCCAGCCCCCAGGACACCUGUCUUGUGAGGCUGGCCCCCGGGCGUUCGUGUUGCUUGCUUUCCAUCUUGCCAUUGGUGGAAUCGCACAGAAGGUUCUCUCAAGUCUGGAUCUCCGGCUGGACAUGGUGGCCCUGGGAGCCGCCCACACUGAUCUGGGGUUGCGGGGCGGGGGGCAUCCCUCUUUUUUACCGCUGCACAGAGCCUCACAUCUGUGCACACCCCCACCCCAGCGUGUGGGUGCACUUCCUGGACACAGGGCCGUUGCCAGCUCUUGCCGUGACUGUUCCCGAGCCCACUUUCGUGUGGACACCUGCUUCGUUUAUUGGGGUAAACGCAUGGAAGUGAACCUGCUGGGUCCUGGGGAAGGUGAGUGUGUGUGCGUUUAUUAAGACGCUGCCCUUGGCUUUCCCCAGCCCUGGCACCAGCCGCCUUCCUCCACGAGAAGUGGCCACGCCAGGGCCUGGCUGGCUUUGCAGGCGGCCCCUGCCUUGGGGCGGGGGGAGAUGUUCCAACUUCCUCCGUGGGGCCCUCCUCCGCCGUCCGCCCUGCCUCUCACCGCAGCUGUGUCUCUGGCUCCGUCCCACCCUGAACCUCACGUUCCAGCUGCAUCAAAGGCCCACAGUUCCCUGCACACACGUCAUCUCUGUCCUUCUGCACGAACUGUCCUUUCCACCGGGAGCACGAGUCACCCUCCGGGGGCGGCCGGCUGCUUUGUCGUCUAAGAUCUAAGAGCACGUCUUCUAGGACCUGCUGACGUCUCCGGGUCCCGCCCUGCAUCCUGAGGCCCACAUCUGGCUGCCGGCUCUGAGCUGCCUUGGUCCAAGGAAGGCCUUUAAACCACACUGCCUCCCCUUCAUGCUCAGAACCCAGCGGGAUGCCUGGCACGUGGGAGGCCUCAGCAAACGUGCCAUAAAUGACAUGGUGAAGCCGGGUCUAGGUGGACACGUGCACGGGCGCACACGACUCCGUCCGUGAGGCCCACACAUCCAAGCGUGCAGCCUUGUGGGUCCGUGCACAUUUGUGCCCACCCGCGUGGCCACGCCCGGGUCGCUGACUUUUCCCCAAGAGAUUGGUGGUGUCGGUUCUCGACAUAAAAG
rnacentral:lncRNA from 1 species